rnacentral:rRNA from 1 species
AACGAACGCUGGCGGCAGGCCUAAUACAUGCAAGUCGAACGCACCGCAAGGUGAGUGGCAGACGGGUGAGUAACGCGUGGGAACCUUCCUAGUAGUACGGAAUAACUCCGGGAAACCGUGCUAAUACCGUAUAAGCCCUCCGGGGGAAAGAUUUAUCGCUACUAGAUGGGCCCGCGUCGGAUUAGCUUGUUGGUGAGGUAAUGGCUCACCAAGGCUUCGAUCCGUAGCUGGUCUGAGAGGANGAUCAGCCACACUGGGACUGAGACCACGGCCCAGACUCCUACGGGAGCAGCAGUAGGGAAUAUUGGACAAUGGGCGGAAGCCUGAUCCAGCCAUGCCGCGUGAGUG